UACGUAGGGUGCAAGCGUUAAUCGGAAUUACUGGGCGUAAAGCGUGCGCAGGCGGUGAUGUAAGACAGGUGUGAAAUCCCCGGGCUUAACCUGGGAACUGCAUUUGUGACUGCAUCGCUGGAGUGCGGCAGAGGGGGAUGGAAUUCCGCGUGUAGCAGUGAAAUGCGUAGAUAUGCGGAGGAACACCGAUGGCGAAGGCAAUCCCCUGGACCUGCACUGACGCUCAUGCACGAAAGCGUGGGGAGCAAACAGG
rnacentral:rRNA from 1 species